GGUGAACGCUGGCGGCGUGCCUAAGACAUGCAAGUCGAACGGCAGUCUUCGGACUGUAGUGGCGCACGGGUGAGCAACGCGUAACUGACCUACCCCAAAGUCGUGGAUAACGAUUCGAAAGAAUCGCUAAUACGUGAUGUGCUGUCAGAUUGUGUUCUGCCAGUAAAGAUUGAUUGCUUUGGGAUGGGGUUGCGUUCCAUCAGCUAGUUGGUGGGGUAAAGGCCCACCAAGGCGACGACGGAUAGCCGGCCUGAGAGGGUGGCCGGCAACAGGGGCAAUGGGACACGGGUCCCACUCCUACGGGAGGCAGCAGUUAGGAAUCUUCCACAAUGGGCGAAAGCCUGAUGGAGCGACGCCGCGUGAGGGAUGAAGGUCUUCGGAUCGUAAACCUCUGAAUCAGGGACGAAAGACACGUUAUGUGGGAUGACGGUACCUGAGUAAUAGCACCGGCUAACUCCGUGCCAGCCGCCGCCGUAAAAC
rnacentral:rRNA from 1 species